CAAUUUUAUAAGACUUUCUUGAAGCCCCCAAAGUGAUUAUGGUCAUGGUGACAGCAUGGCCAAGUUUUUUGUCCUAUGAAAGUUCUUUAUGCCGAGCGAUUCACAUAGUGAGCAACCUGAAAGCAAAGGGAAAGAUAUUUCACUUUCUCACCAAGUAUCUGCACUGGGAUGAGGAGCCUCCAGGAAACAUCCACAAUGCUAUCACCAGCACCCUGAAGUCUU